CAGGGCCUGCCCCUCCCACGCUCCACCUCAUGAGGCAAAGAGGCCGCCGCACAUCACGCUUCUCAGCCCCAACAAAUCGGAAUCGUCAUCCCCUGCCCCGACUGCGCCCCGUCUCCCUUCCCACCGCCGUGCUCCCCUCUCCCCAUGGACGUCCUUCCCGCCUUCGCUGCCGCCGAUGCCCCACGCGACGGACCCCUCUUUCCCUCUUCUCCUCGACGGCCACGCCGCGUCGCUGGCCGAGCCCCGCUACGGUUGCUGUGAGCCGCCGCCCGCCCCAUAGCCCCAUGCCCGAAGCUGCAGCCGAGAUGCAUCUGAGCGAGAACAAGGGGAUCGAGGAAGUCUGGUUCGCGAUGACGAGAUGCAUCUGAGCGAGAACGUGGGGAUCGAGGAAGUGUGGUUUAUGAUGACUAGCGGGCAGGGCUUCGCCGGCGUUGCCAUAUGUCUGGAGCUGAUCCGCCGUGAUGCGCUGGAGGUCUGCUCCCUCGAUCUGCUUGAUUCAUCCUCCUGGUCACGUCGGCGUCAACUUCUUCAAGGCAAUGAUUCGAAGUAGAUGGGCCUGGCUUCUGUUCAUCAUGCAAUUAUGUGCUAUCUUCGUUCUUGCUGCUGAGGGUAACUCCAUGCAUGCGCAAGCUAUAUGUACUCUUAAGCUGUUAGUCUUCUCUAACUUAUUGCAUAUUCCUGUAUGAUACCACUUUUUCCCUAGCAAGGAUAUGUGAGCCUAUUAACCUUAUGUCGUCUGUCAUUGAUUGAUAACCCAACAAAGAAGUAUGGCAGAAAUUUGCAUCUUAACCUUUCGUCUGCAGGUUCGACAUAUAAAUGUCGUACAUAUGCUUCUUUGACCUGAGUGUGUAAAGUUGGGGUAGGCCACAAGGUCUGCAAGCACAAGCAAUACCAUGAAGGAGCAACUUAUCUACUACACCUAUACAAUAACCAGUGGGGCAUAUCCAAACAUCUACCCAAUCUGCUCUUUCUACAGCCAUGGAUAGGGCAAGAAAAAUAAUUUAGAAACUGGAUUCUGUGUAUGGUUAUUCUCAUGUCCAUCAUAUGAGCACUGUGUGUGUACUUCUUCUCAUGUUGAAAUGAUGUGUUAUACUGGGCCUUUGCAUUUUCUUCAGGAUUUUUGCAUGUGUAUUUUCACAUAAUUUGUAACAAACCAAUUCAUAUUUUCGUCGCAGAUGAAUAACCAACCAAGCGCAGAUCCUUUUCAGUGUGAGCAUGCCCCGGUUUACUGGGCCUUUGCAUUUUCAAACAUUCUGAUUGGUCAUACUAUAUGUAAUCCUUUUUUUUUUUGCUUCAAGGGAGUUAAUUUGUUUAUCAUCAUGACCAACUGAAACUGAUUAAACCGGUAGGUCUUGUCCUCAAUUGGGGCGUGUGAUCUAUGAAAGCUUGGGAUUUACCGUUCUAAUGUGCCGCCUUUGGUUUUGGUUCAGGAAGAAGAAGGUGGUGCACAAGAUGGCGACGUGUGUAACUGGCUUGAGGAUUUUCUGAAGAACUUGAAUUAGGACGUUCACUACACAUUUGGAAUAGAUUGUCAAGAAAAUUUAUCUAGAGUCUGAACAAAUUCAUUUAGAUUCGGUUUAAUUAUAGGGAUUGUUCAUUUUCUGCAUUGAUUUUGUCAUGUUAUAAAAUUGGCAUACCAUAUAAUGCAUAUGUUUUCACACUAAAGGUGCCACCUGUUGUCACAAUGCUGCAAAGAUAUGGUGCAUGGAUGCAUAGUUUAACUCCCAUGAGUACUUGUAGGAAAACAAUUGUACAAUGCAUAAAGAUGUUAUUUGUAUCUGCAAAGAGCGAUCAUAUCUUUUGAUUGAUUCCAUAAGAGUGAGGUCACUCCUUGACUCAGUCGAACUUCAAUCAUUGCUCUUUUUUAAUAACGAUUGGAGAUGUGGUGUAGGAGGAUCAACAGCUAAUGGCAAACGCGCCAACAUGCCCCAAGCACGGUGACCCUUGCAGCAUGCAGAAGACCAUCGGGACAAAUGGGAGGUACACAAAUAGCCAAGAAUGCAAAGAGACGUGCAGGUCUGCGAUUAAAUGAAAGGCCUACUUUGAAGGUGUGUGAAUCCAUUAUUUCCUUUUAGUUUGUUGUGGAGAUUGUGAAGGGAAGCAAGAGCAGCGGCUAGCAAUAGCAGUUCUUGAAUCUGAAACGAGUGAGCUCUUCUUCAACCAAGAUAAUUAGGUGGACUGCAAUAUUUUCUAAAUUGUGUAAUGUUUCCAAUAGGUAAGCCAAAGAGCAGGGGAUAUGUGAACUUCCAAACAUGGGUGAAGGGGGAAGAUCAUAACAAUAGUGGCAUUGGCUCUAUUGGUUGGAUGUUGCAGAUUUAUUAGUUGUCAACGAUCGCCCACACAUAACGAUCAGACUUGAUUCUGAGAGCAAGUGUGCCUGUGCGCUGUUGGUCCACCUCUAGCAGUUUUUGCUUGUUUCAGCUUUUAUUCUUCAUAGUCCCUCAAGGCAACAAUCAUCAAAAUCUGACAAUGGCCGCUUCUCACUUUUGUGAACGACACUUGCCAUACUUCUGUGAACGAUGCUUGAUUUUUUUUUCAUCGGAGUAAUAGUUAUUUACUAUUGUUGAUA